GCCUUCGUGUUGUAAAUGAGAGCAUAUUUGACUCGUAUUCGAGAGGUCCAGGGUUCGAGUCCUAGUGAGGGCA
rnacentral:tRNA from 1 species